CCGAACAAUUCUUCUGGCAGUUUUGUUUGAGACCUUUCUUGGUCUACCUGACCUGACCUUGGCUUAGUAACAAGAGAUCUGUCACGGAAAGGUGAGCAGCAGGGAUACCGUUCCGUGCACCUUCAGUUCCAAUCAUCACACGAACGCAUCCCGGACUUGUUUUGUGUCACGUCUUUAAUCAUCGUUCACACCAGGGGCCUGUUGCACAAAAGUAGAAUGAAGAAAUCCAGGAUAACUGAAAAAGCGCAGCUUGACUUAGCGUGAUCCGCUCAUCGCGGCUUAAUCGGUUGCAUGUUUGCCGAGCCAGGAUGAGAAGGUGAAGCUAUGUCAAGCCAGGUGUAGAUAGUCGGGUUAAGUGCACGUCCACGGCUUUCUGAAAUAGACCACGGUAUCGAUCACAGAUUCACUGAUUCAGAGAUGGAGAAGACGUGUGCGGCAUAUUUUUCACCCGAGGAGCAGCAACUCAUUAUGGAAAGUUAUGAGGAGGUAAAGCAUAUAAUAUGCAGAAAAGGAAAUACGGCGGCUGUUAUUAAACUGAGAGAAAAAGCCUGGCAGACAAUAGCGGACCGACUGAAUGCAACAAAUGUGACUGGGCAAAAAAGAACCUGGCAACAAGUAAAGAUCAAAUAUAAAAACCUUUUGCAAGCUGCUCCAGACUUCACCCCUGCUGAGGAAAUGGCCCUUGAUUUGAACCAAGGAAGGCCUUGUGAUGGAAGGAUCUGUAUGUAACAGGAUCCAGACGCAGUACAGUAUGACAGCCAGCCUGGCAACAUAGUAAGUAUGAGCUAAUGGAAAUCUGAAUUAUGCACAAUUCCUGCUGUGCUAAUCAAUGGGUGGUUUACAGAAUUCACAAACUGUAAGAUGUCUGUAUACAUGACAUCUGAACAAGCAAAUACAGCUGGCAGAUGCACAGAUUGCUGUAAGUAAAAGGACUCUCCAGGAUCUGGACCUUGGUAUAGAAAUCAAGAAUAGAACACUGAGGAAAAUCCAGAAACUAGAAAAAUAAGUGGCUUCAAUCCACACUGUU
ensembl:lncRNA